rnacentral:rRNA from 1 species
AGCGGUAGCACAGAGAGCUUGCUCUCGGGUGACGAGCGGCGGACGGGUGAGUAAUGUCUGGGAAACUGCCUGAUGGAGGGGGAUAACUACUGGAAACGGUAGCUAAUACCGCAUAACGUCGCAAGACCAAAGUGGGGGACCUUCGGGCCUCAUGCCAUCAGAUGUGCCCAGAUGGGAUUAGCUGGUAGGUGGGGUAACGGCUCACCUAGGCGACGAUCCCUAGCUGGUCUGAGAGGAUGACCAGCCACACUGGAACUGAGACACGGUCCAGACUCCUACGGGAGGCAGCAGUGGGGAAUAUUGCACAAUGGGCGCAAGCCUGAUGCAGCCAUGCCGCGUGUGUGAAGAAGGCCUUCGGGUUGUAAAGCACUUUCAGCGGGGAGGAAGGCGGUGAGGUUAAUAACCUCAUCGAUUGACGUUACCCGCAGAAGAAGCACCGGCUAACUCCGUGCCAGCAGCCGCGGUAAUACGGAGGGUGCAAGCGUUAAUCGGAAUUACUGGGCGUAAAGCGCACGCAGGCGGUCUGUCAAGUCGGAUGUGAAAUCCCCGGGCUCAACCUGGGAACUGCCUUCGAAACUGGCAAGCUAGAGUCUU